GAUAGGCUGUAGUAGUGCUUCAGAUAGGUUGUAGUGCCUCAGAUAGGAUCCGGCCUAUCUGAAGCACUACAGCCUAUCUCAAGUACUACAGAAUAUCUG
rnacentral:pre_miRNA from 1 species